rnacentral:lncRNA from 1 species
UAGAGAGGGGCGGCGGUCCCCGUGCGGGGGCGGGACCAGAGAUGACCGCAAGAGCAAGAAACGCUUUCAGGACUGGCCCUUGGGGCUGCGGGUCUUCGUGCGAUUCCUCCGAGACUCGCGGAGAUUCCUCCGAGUCUGCGCUUCCGCCCGGGCGCCCUCAUGCUGGCGCCGCCCGUCACCCUGCAGGCCUCAGGGUCCCGGAAUCACGGCACCCGCACCGAGCCUGCGCCGUAGCCCUCGUUACUGCUGCGGAGCGGAAGGCCUCGCCCCCCAUUCCUGGCCACGCCCCCUCUGUUCACCGGCCCCGCCUUACGCCCAACUGGCCCCACCCCCUUGGUGCCUCCGUUUCCCUGCUGUUCCCUGACCCCUCCCUUACAGUGCAGUCCCCGCCCCUAAGGUUAAGCCCCGCCCACGUCUACCUUUUCCCCGCCGCUCUAUCCCAGGCCCCAUCCACCCUCCACCUCCGGCCCCGCCCUGCAGUCAUUGGUCCCGCCCCUCCUUACCACACCUCCUCCCCCUGUUCAAGGGGCUCCUGAGGGGCUGAGAGUCUAGGUGUGCGACGCUUGGUCCAACACCUCUGCUUGCUUUCGCUCUCGGGUCCUGCGUGAAGCCGAGAGCCUGAAUGGGGAUCGUCCCGGCAGGGUAGCUCAGGUAUGUGGCUCAGGUUUCCGUAUCUCGGCAGAAUCUCGGGGGCUUCCUGGAUCUGAUCACGUGAAUGCGGGCUGCCCCUUCCUGUAGCGGCUCCCACUGGCGGGUCGGAACCUCGGGGCCUGCGGAAAGGGACAGAUCCCUCUCACCUCCUAGCUCUGCUCUUUCCGCAAUCUCAGCCUGCAGUCACACGUAGGGCCCUCACAUCGCGGUGAGUGGCCUGUAAUGCCCCGUCCGGAGGUCCCUCCCUUCUUGUGCCCACCAAGGUUUCCGGGGGAAGACUCCUACUCCUCGGCCCCGGGACCCCUGAGUGACCUACCUCAUGGGAGAGUCUAUCUCUUCCCAGGUUCCAGACCUCCAGACGCUGCUCUGCAUCGCCCCACAGGCAGUGGUGCUGCCCUGUACUAACCUUGAGCAGCCCAGGGCCUUCUUCCAUCCCAUAGCGCUCAGCUCUGGGGGCGGGCUUCCCCAACAGAUGUUCCUUAUCACAGCAUCGCCCCACAUCUGGGGCCUGGAGUUCCCACAGAGGCGGGGGUGGGAGAGGGCAGGGCAGAACAGAGGGCCGUGUUCUCCAAAUGCCUUCCCUUGGGAGGCCCUGUGAGGCUUGGGGAAACUGAGGCCCAGAAAUGGCGCUGCUUGGCGACCAGCAUGGCAGCAGUAGAGGCUACACAUCAGCCACUCCCUCUGGGCAGCCAGCCCCUGCCUGCCCCCAGAAAGAUCUGACAAGACUCAAAGCAUGUUCUCCCCAGGUUGCCUGAAG